rnacentral:rRNA from 1 species
CUACGGGUGGCUCCAGUCGAGAAUCUUUUGCAAUGCGCGAAAGCGUGACAGAGCGAGCCAGAGUGUUGUUCAUAGAACAACUUUUGCUAAGUCUAAAAAGCUUGGCGAAUAAGGACUGGGUAAGACGAGUGCCAGCCGCCGCGGUAAUACUCGCGGUCCAAGUCGCAGCCAUUAUUAUUGGGUCUAAAACAUCCGUAGCUUGCUUAAUAAGUUUCUUGUGAAAUCCUAUAUCUUAAGUAUAGGGCGCGCGAGAAGUACUAUUGAGCUAGAGACUGGAAGACGUAAGGAGUACGAUAGAGGUAGUGGUAAAAUACGUUAAUCUUUGUCGGACUAACAACAGCAAAGGCACCUUACGAGGACAGUUCUGACAGUAAGGGAUGAAGGCUAGGGGCGCAAAACGGAUUAGAUACCCUCGUAGUC